GACGAACGCUGGCGGCGUGCUUAACACAUGCAAGUCGAACGGAAAGGCCCUGCUUUUGUGGGGUGCUCGAGUGGCGAACGGGUGAGUAACACGUGAGUAACCUGCCCUUGACUUUGGGAUAACUUCAGGAAACUGGGGUUAAUACCGGAUAGGAGCUCCUGUUCCAUGGUGGGGGUUGGAAAGUUUCGGCGGUUGGGGAUGGACUCGCGGCUUAUCAGCUUGUUGGUGGGGUAGUGGCUUACCAAGGCUUUGACGGGUAGCCGGCCUGAGAGGGUGACCGGCCACAUUGGGACUGAGAUACGGCCCAGACUCCUACGGGAGGCAGCAGUGGGGAAUAUUGCACAAUGGGCGGAAGCCUGAUGCAGCAACGCCGCGUGCGGGAUGACGGCCUUCGGGUUGUAAACCGCUUUCGCCUGUGACGAAGCGUGAGUGACGGUAAUGGGUAAAGAAGCACCGGCUAACUACGUG
rnacentral:rRNA from 1 species